GGAAGUAAAAGUCGUAACAAGGUUUCCGUAGGUGAACCUGCGGAAGGAUCAUUAACGAAUUGCGUUCGGGGUUGUUGCUGGCUCACCUUUCCCGGGGAGCACGUGCACGCCUCGCAUCCAUUUCAACCUCACUCGUGCACUUCAGAGGACCUUUUGGUUCUCUUUUUCACACAAACCUCUGUAUAGUCAUUGUAGAACGUCUUGUAUUAAACUAAAUACAACUUUCAACAACGGAUCUCUUGGCUCUCGCAUCGAUGAAGAACGCAGCGAAAUGCGAUAAGUAAUGUGAAUUGCAGAAUUCAGUGAAUCAUCGAAUCUUUGAACGCACCUUGCGCUCCUUGGUAUUCCGAGGAGCAUGCCUGUUUGAGUGUCGUGUAAUUUCUCAAUCCCGUUUGGUUUUGAAUCGAACGUGGAUUGACUUGGGAGCUUGCUGUGCCUGUUUCUUGGUUCGGCUCUCCUUGAAUGCAUUAGCUCGGUCACGUAGUUGCCCGACGGUUCACGGUGUGAUAGUCAUUCAUCGCCGUUCUGACCGUUUCGGUGCCUGUGUCUGCCGGCUUCUAAUCCGUGUGUUGUCCUUUGUUGGAUGAUGCACUCUUUGACAAUUGACCUCAAAUCAGGUAGGAUUACCCGCUGAACUUAAGCAUAUCAAUAAGCGGAGGA
rnacentral:rRNA from 1 species